ACUCCUACGGGAGGCAGCAGUCGAGAAGCUUCGGCAAUGGGCGAAAGCCUGACCGAGCGAUGCCGCGUGAGUGAAGAAGGCCCUAUGGGUUGUAAAGCUCCGUCAGAUUGGGAAGAAAAUCCUGCGGUUAAUACCCGUAGGACUUGACGGUACCAUCAGAGGAAGCACCGGCUAACUCCGUGCCAGCAGCCGCGGUAAUACGGAGGGUGCAAGCGUUGUUCGGAUUCACUGGGUAUAAAGGGUGCGCAGGCGGCCCGAUAAGUCAGGGGUGAAAUAUGACGGCUCAACCGUCAAACUGCCCCUGAAACUGUCAGGCUUGAGUUCGAGAGAGGUAGGUGGAAUUCCAGGUGUAGCGGUGAAAUGCGUAAAUAUCUGGAGGAACACCGGUGGCGAAGGCGGCCUACUGGCUCGAUACUGACGCUCAGGCACGAAAGCAUGGGGAGCGAACGGGAUUAGAUACCCCGGUAGUCCAUGCCGUAAACGAUGGGUACUAGGUGUUGGAGGAUUCUACCCCUUCAGUGCCGCAGCUAACGCAUUAAGUACCCCACCUGGGGAGUACGAUCGCAAGGUUGAAACUCAAAGGAAUUGACGGGGGCCCGCACAAGCGGUGGAGCAUGUGGUUUAAUUCGAUGCAACGCGAAGAACCUUACCUGGGCUUGACAUGCAGGGGACAGAUGUAGAAAUACAUCCUUCUUCGGACUCUUGUACAGGUGCUGCAUGGCUGUCGUCAGCUCGUGUCGUGAGAUGUUGGGUUAAGUCCCGCAACGAGCGCAACCCUCGUCUUUAGUUGCCAGCAGGUUAAGCUGGGCACUCUAAAGAGACUGCCUUCGCAAGGAGGAGGAAGGUGANGACGACGUCAGUCAUCAUGGNCCUUAUGGCUAGGGCUGCACACGUGCUACAANGGGGNCGUACAGA
rnacentral:rRNA from 1 species